rnacentral:tRNA from 1 species
AAGGACUUAGCUUAAUUAAAGUGUUUGACUUGCAUUCAAUUGAUGUAGGGUAUACUCCUGCAGUCCUUA